rnacentral:rRNA from 1 species
CCCGAACGGUGGAUCACUCGGCUCGCGGAUCGA